UUAAGAACAUCGUUUAAAAGCGUGGUGGUUUUUGUUUUCAUAUCUGAUCAUCUGGUGAUGGUCACGACAUUUUGCAAGACUGCUCAGAAUUUAGGAUAAACAAGAAUAGUUUAAAUUGUAAUCAUUUUAUUGAUAUAUCACAUUAAAACAAAGCUUAGUAUAAAAAGUAUACUAUCGAACAUUGAAAUUUAUACUAAGGCUGAUUUGUGCUUCAUUAUUAAGAAUGGUAUUAUGUUUUCUCUGAAAAGUGCGAAGAGACAUGUUUUCUGCUCAUUCAAUCGAAUUGAAGUUUUACAGCGUAUGGCCAACCACAUUUUAAUUUUGAUACAGAAAAGCCGUCACCGCACGAGUCGUGAUGGAAAAAAUGAAGGCUGAAAUCGGAAAUCUUUACCUGGAGCGAUCGUGUUGGUGGUUGCAGUAAAUAAACUAAAAGAUUCGUUUCACCGUGACCAAUGCGGAGAGGUGCCAAUGCAAAGUAUAGCACCUGGGACCAACAAGUGGCAAAAACAUGGGACGAAGACGUUACUGGAGCCAGCCCAGAACAGGAGUAAUUUAUACGUAAAUUCGCUGUACUCAAGAAAUAUAGUUCACGGUGAAAUGGGCCUAGAUCACGACGAUCUGUGUCACUACGACCCAAUGACACUGAUUAUUUAGUGUAAUUUACCCAGAUCCCGACGGAGGCAACGGAGGAGGAAAACCUGACCAAGCAUAAACACCGGGUGUGAAGUUCGCAUUUGGAUUACGGAAAUAUGCUUGAGCUGGUGGAUGUCGUCGUUGUGAAGCGUGUUCAGCAUGGAAUUGCCAUCAUCGAGUUGUCGAAUCCUUGCUCCCUGGACAAGAGCAUAUGACGUGGACACCAUCAUCAAAUUUGUCGAUGAAUAUGAAGCACUUCCGUUAAAAUUAUAUGUAACUACUGCUCUUGUAUCAAUAAAAUAAUAAAGUGUAACUAAAAUAUAUUGAAAGAAAUAGGAAAAGAAUG